GUCAAAGCUUAACUAUAUGCACAUAAUAAUUCCGUAAAUAUCAUAGAACCCCUGAACAGUACUAAAUAAUUCUAUACACUUAUAGAACCUCUUAUGCUAAAACUAGUAACGAGAAGAUAAACCUUCUCUUCUAUGUAAGUGUAAAUCAAAACAGAAAAUCUACUGAUCCUUAACAGUUGUGAACUACAGCACUAACACACUCAGAAAAACCUGCUUUUAAAACUGUUACCCUUACACAAGAACAUAAUAAGAAAGAUCAAAAGAAAAAGAAGGAACUCGGCAAAUCACGAUUCCGCCUGUUUACCAAAAACAUCGCCUCCUGCUAUCUAUAGGAGGUCCAGCCUGCCCAGUGACCUAGUUUAACGGCCGCGGUAUCCUAACCGUGCGAAGGUAGCGUAAUCACCUGUUUUUUAAUUGAAGACCUGUAUGAAAGGCAUCACGAGAAUCGCACUGUCUCCUUUUUCCCAUCAGUGAAACUAAUCUCCCCGUGAAAAAGCGGGGAUUCUAAUACAAGACGAGAAGACCCUAUGGAGCUUUAGACAAUGUAGUAUUAUGUCCUCCCUCUUCCAAACUAUUUACUAUAACACUUAUACUACAAGUCUUCGGUUGGGGCAACCCCGGAGUAAAACCUACCCUCCAAGUUGAACGGAAUUUUCCUAAACAAAAAGACACAACUUUAUGUAUCAAUAAAUUGACACUCAUGACCCAAUAUUUUGAUUAUCGAACUAAGUUACCCUAGGGAUAACAGCGCAAUCAACCUUCAGAGUUCAUAUCGACAAGUGGGCUUACGACCUCG
rnacentral:rRNA from 1 species